GGCGGUAUAGCUAAGUGGUAGAGCCCGUGCCUAAGCAUGCACGAAGUCCUGGGUUCUAAACCCAGCACCACAA
rnacentral:tRNA from 1 species